UAAAAUGAAAAAGAAAAAAGAAAAAUUCCCAUGCAAACACAGACUCUUCAAGAAAUUAACCUAAUACCCAUCUCUUUUUUUUUCAUAUUUCUUGGGAUUGAGCUCAAACAUGCACAUAAACAAUACUGAAUUAAGGGUUAAAAAAGGGUAUAAUUAACCAAGAGUGUGGAUUUUAUAAAAGACAAAUUGAGGAAGGGAGAAAAAAAGAAAAGAAAAAUAAUACAAAGCGAAAGUUCAUAUAAACCUGAAAAUUAAACAAGAGCACUACACAAGCUCAAAAAUCUUAGGCGUGACAAGCGUAAGUGGGGUGCAUUAUCAUGAUAGAUUCCAAAUGCUCACACUCUCCCAAUCUUUUUUGAUGCAUCCACAUCAUCCUCUCAUCUCUAAUUCCUCCCCACUUUUAUCUUUCUGCACAAGUCAACCCAACAUUCAUCAACCACCAACAUCCCCCCCCUCCCCCCUCCCCAAUUUACCAAUCACUUCUCUCCAUGUAAUUGCUCCCAUUCAUCACCCGCCCUAACAAAAAUUUUUUCCUACUCGACUCUAAACCCCUAACCCUCCCCCCAGUAUAUUCCGGUUUACUUCCGGCGAACUGUGAACGUUUGAAACACCACACUUCCGCUAUCUGGAAACUCAUCCACCGCGCAACUUCUGCAUUUCAUUCCAAGCGGCUCCACAGCAUUUGCAACCCGUGUCCAAACUUCGUGGCUCGCGCAUGUAGUAGACACCGACAUGGUUGCCGGCCGGAAAACCUGCACCACCUUCUUUAAAACCUCAGCUAUAUCAUCAUUAUCGUCGAAAAUGGACCCAACACACUCAAAACUUGCAUAGCUGUAACCAUCCUCUGGAGUGACAUGAAUGGUAGAGUAACGAUCAUUAUCAAUCCCAUUCAUGGAGUAUCCACAAGGGUCGAAUGCAAAAUCACAAAUGAUAGCUCCUGGAUUGAUAUCACCUAUACCGGUAAGUUUCGUCAUCUCUUUCCCAGCUAUAUCACCAUUCUUGCCAUCGCCGGGAGGUUGAAAGAACUUGUGAGCCAUGACACGGUCGAGCUCAGUCAUGCACACCUCUAUAGUGUAGAGAUCAUCGUUUUGGGAUACUAUGUGAGUUUGGUCACUAGCAGUAAAGACAUGCCAAGAGUGAGAAGUCAUUUUAGAAGGCAUAACAGAGGCUUUUCUAUAGCAAAGAUUGGAGGGGAGGUUCUCUUCAAGGUAAAUGACUUCUUCUUUGAAGCUGGUGUGAGGGAAGGGCUGUGACUUGGGGAAGAUAAAACUGCCUCUGGUGUACCUACAGGAGCACAAAGUGAGGCCGAGAUUGCAAGCAUAGUGUAGCAAUGGACCGAUGGAUUUGAGGAGUUGGGUGGUCCCACAUGUCUUGAUGAUGAUCUUGGUGGGGUAGACAAAGAGGCUUGACUCUGAUAACACGUAGGCAUCAAAAUAGUGGUUCCCAACAGCAGACACCACAGUGCAUUGCACAGCAUUUAAAACUUUCACUAAAGACUCGAAAUCAAGAAGCCUAAGGCCCAUAUUGUCGACCACAGGAUCAUCACCAAAGAAAUGAAGCUCCAGGCGCUUCUCAAAGCCUUCAAAACCAGACACAGCCAUUAAUGAAGUAUAGCAAGGAAAGAAAGAACACAAACUGAAUAGAAACUAAAGAAAAAAAGACACAGAGAGGCAGGGAGCAGAGAAAAUAGGAGAGGAAGAUUUUGAGGGUGUGAGGGACUACAGGUGAGAGAGAGAAGAGGGGUCUGUAUGGGAUUUAUAGUUGGGUGAGAAAAGGAGAUUUGAGAGACAGUGGGGUUAGGGAGAGGGAGAUAGUGAGUGAAGGAGAGAGAGGGGGCAUGCGGGUGAGGCAACCAAGAAU
rnacentral:misc_RNA from 1 species